AGAACGAACGCUGGCGGCAGGCCUAACACAUGCAAGUCGAGCGCCGUAGCAAUACGGAGCGGCAGACGGGAGAGUAACACGUGGGAACGUACCCUUCAGUUCGGAACAACCCAGGGAAACUUGGGCUAAUACCGAAUACGUCCGUAAGGAGAAAGAUUUAUCGCUGAAGGAUCGGCCCGCGGCCCAUUAGCUUGUUGGUGAGGUAACGGCUCACCAAGGCGACGAUGGGUAGCUGGUCUGAGAGGACGAUCAGCCACACUGGGACUGAGACACGGCCCAGACUCCUACGGGAGGCAGCAGUGGGGAAUCUUGCGCAAUGCGCGAAAGCGUGACGCAGCAACGCCGCGUGGGGGAAGACGGCCUUCGGGUUGUAAACCCCGUUUCAGUUGGGACGAAGCUCCGCCGGUGAAUAGCCGGUUGGAGUGACGGUACCUUCAGAAGAAGCCCGGCUAACUACGUGCCAGCAGCCGC
rnacentral:rRNA from 1 species